rnacentral:rRNA from 1 species
AUGCCUAAUCUUUGCAGCCACCCUGAUGCUAGCAAGCAUCAAGAGCAGCACAGCGUCCAGGAUGGCAAAGCCUGGGUGCCAAGAAACAUGUGGCAACCUCACCAUCCCAUACCCCUUCGGCAUCGGUGAAGGUUGCUUCCGCGAAGGGUUCGAUGUUUCAUGUGAGAACAACAGUGUUUACAGGCAUAACUCAAGCAGCAGAAUAAAGAUCUACGACAUCAGUCUGCUAGGAGGGCAGGCCCGAGUCACCACCUUGAUUGCAUCCAAGUGCUUCAACAAGACAGGGGGGCGGGCCUGGUUAAAUACGGGUAAGUUUUUUACAAUAUCAACCAAGGCAAACAAAUUAACAGCGGUUGGAUGCAACACCCUUGCAUUCCUGGGAGGCUUUAACGAGCACAGAGUGGGAGCUGGGUGUUUCUCGAUGUGCGCAGACAAGCGAAGUGUGGACGGAAGUGAAUCAGUGCUCUGGAAUGGGCUGUUGCCAGACAUCUAUUGCGCCAAACCUCAAUUUCUCCAAUAUAACAUUCGAUGAUAGAUUCGACAAUUCUGAGGUGAGUGGCUUCAACCCAUGCAGCUAUGCUUUUGUCGCCGAGCAGGAUUGGUUCAGGUUUGAGGCUUCUUAUCUUGAGGAUAAUAAAUUCAAAGAGAAGUUCAAGGAUGGAGUACCCACUCUGCUUGACUGGGUUGCUGAAGAUGAAUACUGUGAUGAAGCCAUGAAGAACAUGUCAACGUAUGCCUGCAUUAGCAAGAAUAGCCGGUGCAUCACGUCACCAAAUGCUACAGGAUAUCUCUGCACCUGCAACAAUGGUUUUGCAGGCAAUCCAUAUCUGGAAUAAGGAUGCCAAGAUAUCAAUGAGUGCAAUUUCCCAGAUGAGUAUCCUUGCCAUGGAAUUUGCAGUAAUAUAAUUGGGGACUACGAUUGUAAAUGCAAAUCUGCGACUCAGAGUGCAGAUCCAAAGAGAAAAACCUGUGACCCAAUUGCAGUUUCAGAAAGAGCUAGAUUAACAAAAAUGUUUGCAGCUGCGUGUUCAAGAACCAAAACUGAAAGAAUGUUAUUCUUGGCAGGUAUUUCAGCAUGUGCAGUACUUCUCCUUAUCUGCAUUUUUGCACUCCUGAUUGAAUGUCAGAAGAGAAAGCUGGUGAAAGAAAAGCAGCUUUUCUUCCAACAAAAUGGUGGCCUGCUAUUAUAUGACCAAAUCAGGUCAAAGCAAGUUGAUACAGUGAGAAUAUUCACAAGGGAAGAACUAGAGAACGCAACAAACAAUUUCGACUCAAGCAGAGAAUUAGGAAGAGGUGGCCAUGGAACUGUUUACAAGGGAAUUCUCAAAGACGGCAGACUGGUAGCCAUAAAGCGCUCAAAGGUUAUGAACAUGGACCAGAAAGAUGAAUUUGCGCAAGAGAUGGUUAUACUUUCACAGAUAAACCACAGGAAUGUGGUAAAGCUUCUAGGAUGUUGCUUAGAAGUGGAAGUCCCAGUGUUGGUCUAUGAAUGCAUCCCAAACGGCACCCUAUUCGAGCUGAUGCAUGGUAAAAACAGAAGAUUUCCCGUUUCACUGGAUACUCGUCUCAGGAUAGCUCAGGAAUCUGCAGAAGCAUUAGCAUAUCUGCACUCAUCAGCAUCCCCUCCCAUAGUUCAUGGAGAUGUAAAAUCUCCAAACAUUCUCCUAGGCGCCAACUGCGCAGCAAAAGUGACUGAUUUUGGAGCAUCAAGAAUGCUUCCUACGGAUGAAAUACAGUUUAUGACAAUGGUACAGGGAACUAUAGGUUAUCUUGACCCUGAAUACUUGCAAGAGCGUCAACUAACAGAGAAGAGUGAUGUUUAUAGUUUGAUGGCGCUAGAUCUGGAAAGUGGUAGAUGAUAAUAAAUUGCUUAUGAAAUCAUAGAUUGUAGCAGAGAUUGAAUUUAAUAUUUCGUGCCAUAAAUGUCAUGCAAAAAUGUGUCAUUUUGUUUUUAAUUGUAACAAACCUCCUGGCA